ensembl:lncRNA novel transcript
AAAACCACAUGAAAAUUUCAAGAAUUCACUGAUCUGAUGCAAAAUAAAAAUUUAUCAUUACAUCUUGAACCCAGGAAGCUUACAGCAAAGAGACUAUGCUUUAUGACGUCAGCAAUAGAUAAUUCCACGUUGCCUUUGUGAUUUGUAUAUAUAGCUUACAUUUGUGGAUCACUACAUAGCCAGAUUCAAAAAUAUUUUACUUGUUCCAUCCACAGUUCUCUACAGAAAGAACCAAUGAACCCAAUAGGAACAAAUUCUCUGUGGAAAACAAAGCAUAGCUGUAGUAGAUACGAAUCCAAUCACAGAGGAAACAGGAAGAGAAAAACAUCCAAGACUACAGUGAAAACUGGAAAUGUUCUCUCCUUCUGAUAUCCUGAUACCACCAGUUCUUUGACAUCACCAGGACCACCAGUUCACUGACCUGAUAUCAGCUCCUAUGUCCUCACUUCCCUUUGCACUCCUCUCGCAUAUACCCCACAUUUCCUGCUGUCUCCCCAUCUCCAGUAUCUCAUGUCUCACUUCCAUUACUUAAAUAACCAUGAAAUCAUCUUUCUACUUGGCUCUCACAUCCACUCUGUCAACAAAUUGUCACCUCCAUCUUCAGAAUAUACCCAGGGUCUGACCAAUCUCUACCACUUCCACUGCUACCAAGAUCAGAAGAGGAAGGAAACUCAAAGAAGACACAAGAGUACAGGGAUCAGAAAAACCCUUGAAUGUUGCAGACUGCCCCAGUGCCAUCAGACUUCAGAUGUGUGACUCAUUUUAUUUUUGGUCAACACACGGAGCUGCUCUCUGCUAGCUAUUACCCUGGUGGUAUGAAAACUGCUAAGUGUGGUGGACAGGUGUUGGCAUUGCCUUCCUAAUAUCCAGUUUCUCCUCUAACGGAGUAAGCUCUGCGAUAGGAGUGAAGAGUGUCACUAAGUGAGAAUCAGCUACGGUGGCAGCUCGUCCUAGAAAUGUCACGUCUCAUCCUGCCUCCGUGUGCUGGCCUAUCCAAGUUCAGGUUUCAGGCAGGCAGCUGGACUCAGCAGGAAGAGUCUCUUUUUCUGAAAGCUAAAAUGACUCUUCAGCUUGAGAGCGGCUGUCCUCCUUGUUUUCUUUGAAAGAAGAUCAUUUCCUGAAGGCCGAGAGAUCCAGGCUCUCCAAAAGCCUCUCUCUGUGGGUGAGACCCGCCAAAGAAUGCAAGGAUGAGAAACAAAACCAAAUCUCAGAGGAAUGAAAGAAUCCUUUUCACAUGGACAUUAGUUACAUUCAUUAAUGGCUCACACAUGAGUUCAGGCCCAUGUUUUGAUCUGUAGGAUUGUUUUCAAUUGAGCUCUAGAAACAG